UACGAAGGGGGCUAGCGUUGCUCGGAAUCACUGGGCGUAAAGGGUGCGUAGGCGGGUCUUUAAGUCAGAUGUGAAAUCCUGGAGCUCAACUCCAGAACUGCCUUUGAUACUGAGGAUCUUGAGUACGGGAGAGGUGAGUGGAACUGCGAGUGUAGAGGUGAAAUUCGUAGAUAUUCGCAAGAACACCAGUGGCGAAGGCGGCUUCCUGGACCGACACUGACGCUGAGGCGCGAAAGCUAGGGGAGCAAACGGU
rnacentral:rRNA from 1 species